UACAGAGGGUGCAAGCGUUGUUCGGAAUUAUUGGGCGUAAAGGGCGCGUAGGCGGUGCGGUAAGUCUGCAGUGAAAUCUCUGGGCUCAACUCAGAGUCUGCUGUAGAAACUGCCGUGCUUGAGUGUGGGAGAGGUGAGUGGAAUUCCUGGUGUAGCGGUGAAAUGCGUAGAUAUCAGGAGGAACACCGGUGGUGUAGACGGCUCUCUGGACCGUAACUGACGCUGAGACACGAAAGCGUGGGUAGCAAACAGG
rnacentral:rRNA from 1 species